rnacentral:rRNA from 1 species
AAACUAACAAGGAUUCCCCUAGUAACGGCGAGUGAAGCGGGAAGAGCUCAAAUUUGUAAUCUGGCAUCAUUCUGGUGUCCGAGUUGUAAUCUCGAGAAGUGUUUUCCGCUUUGGACCGCAUAUAAGUCUGUUGGAAUACAGCGUCAUAGUGGUGAGAACCCAGUAACUGAUGCGGAUGCCCAUUGCUUUGUGAUACACUUUCGAAGAGUCGAGUUGUUUGGGAAUGCAGCUCAAAAUGGGUGGUAAAUUCCAUCUAAAGCUAAAUAUUGGCGAGAGACCGAUAGCGAACAAGUACCGUGAGGGAAAGAUGAAAAGCACUUUGGAAAGAGAGUUAACAGUAUGUGAAAUUGUUGGAAGGGAAACGCUUGAAGUCAGACUUGCUAUUUGGAGUUCAGCCGCAAGGUGUAUUCUUCAAUUUGCAGGCCAGCAUCAGUUUUUUGGGGUGAAAAAGGGUAUUGAGAAGGUAGCAGUUUCGGCUGUGUUAUAGCUCUUUACUGGAUUCAUCCUAAGGGACUGAGGAACGCAGCACGCUUUUUGCAAGGCUUUCGGGCUUUUCGUGCUUAGGAUGCUGGUGGAAUGGCUUUAAACGAC